rnacentral:rRNA from 1 species
AGUGAACGCUGGCGGUAGGCCUAACACAUGCAAGUCGAACGGCAGCACAGUAAGAGCUUGCUCUUACGGGUGGCGAGUGGCGGACGGGUGAGGAAUACAUCGGAAUCUACUUUUUCGUGGGGGAUAACGUAGGGAAACUUACGCUAAUACCGCAUACGACCUACGGGUGAAAGCAGGGGAUCUUCGGACCUUGCGCGAUCGAAUGAGCCGAUGUCGGAUUAGCUAGUUGGCGGGGUAAAGGCCCACCAAGGCGACGAUCCGUAGCUGGUCUGAGAGGAUGACAAGCACAACUGAACCUGAGAAACGUUCCAGAUCCCUAGGGGAGGCAGCGGUGGGAAAUAUUGGCAAUGGGCGCAAGCCUGAUCCAGCCAUACCGCGUGGGUGAAGAAGGCCUUCGGGUUGUAAAGCCCUUUUGUUGGGAAAGAAAAGCAGCAGGUUAAUACCCCGCUGUUCUGACGGUACCCAAAGAAUAAGCACCGGCUAACUUCGUG